UGAUAUUCAAUAUUUACUUUAACUAUUACAUUGAGAUACUGAACCACUUGAUCCUCAAUGCUCGUGCCCGAUCCCAACCUGCUGUCCCUGAAGACCGCAUAUACAUUGCAGUCGCCCCUACCCGUGCGCCACUGCUGUAACCUGCACCCUGCAAAAAAAAUGCAAGUUCAAAUUCAGAUAAACAAGAAGUUAAAAAGGUAUUGCCUUCACUCAUGUUGUUUUGCCAACGAUCUUUAGUUUGUUCAGUAGCUCGUAAACAAUUGCCAAAAGCUCGUAACUUCAGAAUCAUAAGUUGAUAGUUUGCCUACAGGGACAACCAUGCUGAUGGUGAUUGAAGAACAAUUCUGAAUUAUUAUUAUUGAGCCUGAAGGCCACGUUUUAUGCACGAUGUGGCAGGAUUCUAGGGAUUGUUUUGAGGCGGUCGAUGGCUUUUGAGAGAUGUGUUCAUACUUACAAGUUUGAAGGGGUUCAAAGCUCAUUUAUACAAGGAGGAAUGGCAAUUUGGUUGCACAUCUGUUUGCGAAAAAGAGCACUAAAACUAGAUGUACUUUCUAUUUCUUUAUUUGUAACCCCCUACCUACCUGAUUGAGACUAUUCAAUUAGAGUUAGUUUUUCCUCAAUAAUGAAGUGGCAAGAAUUAGUUUUUAAAAGAAAGACCGGUGCAUCUACUUCGUUGGUGGUAAUUCCAUCAUUUUUGUUUUUCAAAACAAACACAAAAAUGAUGCUCAUAGAUAACAAAAAGUGAUGCUCAUAGAUAACAAAAAAACCUCUAUCUAGGCGUUUAACGUUCUUUUCUUAUUCAACGUGUUGGUAGUUUGUAUAAAAAGACGAAAAAUGAUGUUAAAAACAAACAAAUGAG
rnacentral:lncRNA from 1 species